CCAGGAGCCAGGACCAGGACCAGGACCAGGAGGAGCUGGAGGAGGACGAGGAGCAGCGGGGACAGACGUUUGUCCCGCUGCUCCUUGUCCGCCUGAGCGUCUCCUCCUGCCGGCUCCGCGCGCGUGGAAGAUCCGAGUGGCAAACCGGAAGUGGAUGGUUCCAAUUCAAUUUAUCGAGGGGGAAGGGCGCGGACCGCACUCAGCCAGGAGGAGUCCACUUUUCUUCGGCGGCGCUGAGGAGGGGCUUGCUGGUGCUUCAUCUCCCCCUAGAGGCACCUGUGCACAGCAUGAUUUUUUCUGCCUCAUCAGAUUUUUAUUUUCUCUUUAUUUUGCAUGAAAAUGUCACCAAUUCUAUUAUCAAUAAUAUAAAAUGUAUUGAAUUCGGUGGAAUUUUAUUUAAAGUUGUUCACAUAACCCUUAGAAGUUGAAUAUCAAUGUUUAUGGUCCUGCAGAGAGUGUAUUUGUGUGUAUUUGGCUUUUAUAUUGAGUGAUUAAUAAGAUAAAAAUGACAAAUAUGUGAGACUUGUACACAAAUAUAGAACUAUAAAUGCUAAUGAGCGAUGAAUAAAUAACUAAAACCUG